UGGGGAAUAUUGCACAAUGGGCGCAAGCCUGAUGCAGCCAUGCCGCGUGUAUGAGGAAGGCCUUCGGGUUGUAAAGUACUUUCAGCGGGGAGGAAGGUGUUGAGGUUAAUAACCUCAGCAAUUGACGUUACCCGCAGAAGAAGCACCGGCUAACUCCGUGCCAGCAGCCGCGGUAAUACGGAGGGUGCAAGCGUUAAUCGGAAUUACUGGGCGUAAAGCGCACGCAGGCGGUCUGUCAAGUCGGAUGUGAAAUCCCCGGGCUCAACCUGGGAACUGCAUUCGAAACUGGCAGGCUAGAGUCUUGUAGAGGGGGGUAGAAUUCCAGGUGUAGCGGUGAAAUGCGUAGAGAUCUGGAGGAAUACCGGUGGCGAAGGCGGCCCCCUGGACAAAGACUGACGCUCAGGUGCGAAAGCGUGGGGAGCAAACA
rnacentral:rRNA from 1 species